rnacentral:rRNA from 1 species
GACGAACGCUGGCGGCGUGCCUAAUACAUGCAAGUCGAGCGAAAGGACGCGACGCUUGCUUUUCGGAUGAUUGCGGCGGACGGGUGUGAAACACGUGGAAAACCCCCCUAUCAGACUGGGAUAACUCUGGGAAACCGGAGAUAAUACCGGAGAAUAUCUUGCUCCGCAUGGUUCAAAAGUGAAAGACGGUCUUGCUGUAACUUAUAGAGGGAUCCGUGCUGCAUUAGCUAGUUGGUAAGGUAACGGCUUACCAAGGCAACGAUGCAUAGCCGACCUGAGAGGGUGAUCGGCCACCCUAGAACUGAGACACGGUCCAGACUCCUACGGGAGGCAGCAGUAGGGAAUCUUCCGCAAUGGGCGAAAGCCUGACGGAGCAACGCCGCGUGAGUGAUGAAGGACUUCGGUUCGUAAAGCUCUGUUAUUAGGGAAGAACAUAUGUGUAAUUAGCUGAGCAGUACGUGACGGUACCUAAUCAGAAAGCCACGGCUAACUACGUG